GAUGAACGCUAGCGAUAGGCUUAACACAUGCAGUCGAGGGGCAGCAUUAUCUUAGCUUGCUAAGAUAGAUGGCGACCGGCGCACGGGUGCGUAACGCGUAUGCAACCUGCCUGUAAUUAGGGAAUAACCCGGUGAAAGUCGGACUAAUGCCCUAUAUCUUCUUCUCCGCAUGGAGGAGGACGGAAAGAUUUAUUGAUUACAGAUGGGCAUGCGUCCCAUUAGCUGGUUGGUAAGGUAACGGCUUACCAAGGCAACGAUGGGUAGGGGGACUGAGAGGUUGACCCCCCACACUGGUACUGAGACACGGACCAGACUCCUACGGGAGGCAGCAGUGAGGAAUAUUGGUCAAUGGGCGAGAGCCUGAACCAGCCAAGUCGCGUGAAGGAGGACGGUUCUAUGGAUUGUAAACUUCUUUUGUAGAGGAAUAACGGCAGCUAACGUGUAGCUGAGAUGCAUGUACUCUACGAAUA
rnacentral:rRNA from 1 species